GAUGAACGCUGGCGGCGUGCUUAACACAUGCGAGUCGAACGAAGCACUUUAUUUGAUUUCCUUCGGGACUGAUUAUUUUGUGACUGAGUGGCGGACGGGUGAGUAACGCGUGGGUAACCUGCCUUGUACAGGGGGAUAACAGUUGGAAACGGCUGCUAAUACCGCAUAAGCGCACGGCAUCGCAUGAUGCAGUGUGAAAAACUCCGGUGGUAUAAGAUGGACCCGCGUUGGAUUAGCUAGUUGGUGAGGUAACGGCCCACCAAGGCGACGAUCCAUAGCCGACCUGAGAGGGUGACCGGCCACACUGGGACUGAGACACGGCCCAAACUCCUACGGGAGGCAGCAGUGGGGAAUAUUGCACAAUGGGCGAAAGCCUGAUGCAGCGACGCCGCGUGAGCGAAGAAGUAUUUCGGUAUGUAAAGCUCUAUCAGCAGGGAAGAUAAUGACGGUACCUGACGAAGAAGCACCGGCUAAAUACGUG
rnacentral:rRNA from 1 species